rnacentral:rRNA from 1 species
GACGGGGCCGCACAAGCGGUGGAGCAUGUGGUUUAAUUCGACGCAACGCGAAGAACCUUACCGUAGGCUUGACAUCCCGGGAAUCCUGAUGAAAGUCGGGAGUGCCCCGCAAGGGGAGCCCGGAGACAGGUGCUGCAUGGCUGUCGUCAGCUCGUGUCGUGAGAUGUUGGGUUAAGUCCCGCAACGAGCGCAACCCUCGCCUUUAGUUGCCAGCAUUUAGUUGGGCACUCUAAAGGGACUGCCGGUGUUAAACCGGAGGAAGGUGGGGAUGACGUCAAGUCCUCAUGGCCUUUAUGCCUAGGGCUACACACGUGCUACAAUGGGCGGUACAAAGGGUUGCAAUCCCGCGAGGGGGAGCCAAUCCCAAAAAGCCGUUCUCAGUUCGGAUUGGAGUCUGCAACUCGACUCCAUGAAGUUGGAAUCGCUAGUAAUCGUGGAUCAGCAUGCCACGGUGAAUACGUUCCCGGGCCUU